AGCAGCCGCGGUAAUUCCAGCUCCAAUAGCGUAUAUUAAAGUUGUUGCAGUUAAAAAGCUCGUAGUUGAAUUUCGGGAUCAAUAUGUCGGUCGUGCCUCGGUACGUACCGGCGUCAUUGGUUUCUCCCUUCUGAAGAACCUCGAUGUCAUUAAUUUGGUGUCUUGGGGAAUCAGGACUGUUACUUUGAAAAAAUUAGAGUGUUUAAAGCAGGCUCGCGCUUGAAUACAUUAGCAUGGAAUAAUGAAAUAGGACGUUUGAUUCUAUUUUGUUGGUUUCUAGGAUCGACGUAAUGAUUAAUAGGGAUAGUUGGGGGCAUUAGUAUUCAAUUGUCAGAGGUGAAAUUCUUGGAUUUAUUGAAGACUAACUACUGCGAAAGCAUUUGCCAAGGAUGUUUUCAUUAAUCAAGAACGAAAGUUAGGGGAUCGAAGACGAUCAGAUACCGUCGUAGUCUUAACCAUAAACUAUGCCGACUAGGGAUCGGAUGAUGUUAAUUUUUUAAUGACUCAUUCGGCGCCUUACG
rnacentral:rRNA from 1 species